rnacentral:rRNA from 1 species
GCAUGCCUAACACAUGCAAGUCGAACGAAGGCUUCGGCCUUAGUGGCGCACGGGUGCGUAACGCGUGGGAAUCUGCCCUUAGGUUCGGAAUAACAGCUGGAAACGGCUGCUAAUACCGGAUGAAGACGAGAGUCCAAAGAUUUAUCGCCUGAGGAUGAGCCCGCGUUGGAUUAGGUAGUUGGUGGGGUAAAGGCCUACCAAGCCGACGAUCCAUAGCUGGUCUGAGAGGAUGAUCAGCCACACUGGGACUGAGACACGGCCCAGACUCCUACGGGAGGCAGCAGUGGGGAAUAUUGGACAAUGGGCGAAAGCCUGAUCCAGCAAUGCCGCGUGAGUGAUGAAGGCCCUAGGGUUGUAAAGCUCUUUUACCCGGGAAGAUAAUGACUGUACCGGGAGAAUAAGCCCCGGCUAACUCCGUGCCAGCAGCCGCGGUAAUACGGAGGGGGCUAGCGUUGUUCGGAAUUACUGGGCGUAAAGCGCACGUAGGCGGGCUUUGUAAGUCAGAGGGUGAAAGCCCUGGAG